AUGACCUAUAGGGAAUGAUAACAGAAACAGUGCCAGGUCAGAGUGUGCAUGGUGCAAACAGACUAGGCGAGCUUUGCUCUCCGCUACAGACCAGUUGUGGUGAUCAUUUCUCCCACUUCCCUUUGUCAGGAUCUCUUGCCUGUUUACUGGAAACUCGUUUGACUGUAACACCCUCAGCAGCCACACCAAUGCCGGUAAUUCAUCUUGUCAAAGAGAUCCACCAGAAUUGCGAACGAUAAGGACUUACAUCCAGCUACUGUGGUCAACUCAAGGAUACCAACUCAGGAGAGAGGGAACAGAAGAAGAUGGAUACAUUCAAAGCUCUUAAAUUUGACUGAUGCCAGAUACUGAACAGGAACCAACCUGUAAUGAGACAAGAACUCAGACAUCACUAUGUCUGUCUUACUGGAAUUGUGAAUGUCACCACGAGAAAAUUGGUUCCUUGAAGGAGAGAGUAUCCGUGAGCAUUUUCUACAUGGAGGCUACAAAGCGCUAGUUCUAAACAAAGCUGGGAUCCCACACCCCAAGGAAUGAGAAAUCGAUGCUGUUAGCUGUUGAUGUGUCCAAUACUUGGGUAUUGAUAUUAUAGUGUACAAGAGAGGGAGGCAGGGGCUGGGGUGGGGGGAUCUGCAUGAACCCAGGCUGUGCUCUGUAGUGGGAGCUCUCAGCACUUCGGGAGAGAUUUCCAAAGAUGUCCUUCUCUAUCCUGGGCUUCCAAACCCAAUGACUCAUGCAAUGCCUGGAAAGAGAACCUGACAUUUCCCAGAACUCCUUGGUGAGCGGCUGCUUAUCACCACCUUUCAAAAAAUGCCAGGCUCAGAAGGGACUACAGCAGUUGAAAGACUUAAAAGGACUUGUAGCUUUGAGCCCAAGAAAGUUAGGGGUUUUCUUUUCUACUGUUAAAGCAGGGGUUUUACUUCAGGUAGAGAUUAUCUGAGCCUAAAAGGUUUUCUUGGGGUCAGUUUGUUUAGUUUGUUUUCUGCUGUUGCCGUUGAAAAGUUGCAGGAGGGUAACUGGUUAAGUUCACAGAGUCUUGGGGUGAGGGAACUUUGUGAUUCAGGUGGUGCUAGGAAUGUAGUUCGGGGGCGGAGCACUUGCCUGGCAUGCAUGAAGCUCUGGGUUCAAUUCCUGGCUCUGGAAAAACAAAACAAGAGACUGUGCUUAGAAACCAAUCCUGUCAUUUCCCCAGUUGGGGCUUGUAGUCACCCAGUUUUAUUUCCCUUUUGGUAAAACAGAGACACUGAGCUCCACCUCUCAGAGGUGAGAACACAGAGGGCUGAGAAGUGACCAGCAUGUCUGUAACAUGGUAUUACUGAAAAACAAUCACAGCUUUUAUUUGGUAUUUUUUAAUUUUAAUUUUUAAUAUAUUUUUAUUUUAACUUGUUUCAUUGCUUGCAAUGUAAAUUAUUAUUUAUUAUCAGUAGUUUUAAUCAAUGAUAAAUAAUAAUAGAGGUGACUAGUGUGGCUUUCUGCUUGUGGCAUUAAUGAAAUCUUCCAGAGCAAAGAACUUACAUGUAAUUCAUUUUGACAUAAUGUGUCUUAAGUUUUUUUAGUUGUUAAUCAGUGAUUGAGAGUGAAAUAAACUAUGCCAAAUGCAUGUUUAACUGACUCUUGUUUUGACCAGUUAACACUGUGAAUUAAAUCACUAGAUUAAAAAUGUUGCCCUGUUUU